CGGAGGGUGCAAGCGUUGUCCGGAUUUAUUGGGUUUAAAGGGUGCGUAGGCGGCCCGGUAAGUCAGUGGUGAAAGCCUCCAGCUCAACUGGAGAACUGCCAUUGAUACUGUCGGGCUUGAGUACAGACGAGGUUGGCGGAAUUGAUUGUGUAGCGGUGAAAUGCAUAGAUACAAUCAAGAACUCCGAUUGCGUAGGCAGCUAACUAGGCUGUAACUGACGCUGAGGCACGAAAGCGUGGGGAGCGAACAGGAUUAGAUACCCUGGUAGUCCACGCUGUAAACGAUGAUUACUCGAUGUCGGCGAUAAACUGUCGGCGUCUUAGCGAAAGCGUUAAGUAAUCCACCUGGGGAGUACGCCCGCAAGGGUG
rnacentral:rRNA from 1 species